rnacentral:rRNA from 1 species
CCUACGGGAGGCAGCAGUGGGGAAUAUUGCACAAUGGGGGAAACCCUGAUGCAGCAACGCCGCGUGAGUGAAGAAGGUUUUCGGAUUGUAAAGCUCUGUUAGCAGGGAAGAGGAAGGACGGUACCUGCAGAGGAAGCCACGGCUAACUCCGUGCCAGCAGCCGCGGUAAU